rnacentral:rRNA from 1 species
GUCCAGGUAGCUGCCUUCGCCAUGGAUGUUCCUCCUGAUCUCUACGCAUUUCACUGCUACACCAGGAAUUCCGCUACCCUCUACCACACUCUAGUCGCCCAGUAUCCAAUGCAGUUCCCAGGUUGAGCCCAGGGAUUUCACAACGGACUUAAACGACCACCUACGCACGCUUUACGCCCAGUAAUUCCGAGUAACGCUUGCACCCUUCGUAUUACCGCGGCUGCUGGCACGAAGUUAGCCGGUGCUUAUUCUUUGGGUACCGUCAUCCCAACCGGGUAUUAGCCAGCUGGAUUUCUUUCCCAACAAAAGGGCUUUACAACCCGAAGGCCUUCUUCACCCACGCGGUAUGGCUGGAUCAGGCUUGCGCCCAUUGUCCAAUAUUCCCCACUGCUGCCUCCCGUAGGAGUCUGGACCGUGUCUCAGUUCCAGUGUGGCUGAUCAUCCUCUCAGACCAGCUACGGAUCGUCGCCUUGG